UCCACCCUACGGGAGGCAGCAGUGAGGAAUAUUGGUCAAUGGGCGGGAGCCUGAACCAGCCAAGCCGCGUGAGGGAAGAAGGUACAGCGUAUCGUAAACCUCUUUUGUCAGGGAACAAAGGCGGGGACUAGUCCCCGGAUGAGGGUACCUGAAGAAAAAGCAUCGGCUAACUCCGUGCCAGCAGCCGCGGUAAUACGUAGGGAGCGAGCGUUGUCCGGAAUUACUGGGGGUAAAGGGAGCGUAGGCGGGACGGCAAG
rnacentral:rRNA from 1 species